rnacentral:rRNA from 1 species
UACGUAGGGUGCGAGCGUUGUCCGGAAUUAUUGGGCGUAAAGAGCUCGUAGGCGGUUUGUCGCGUCGACUGUGAAAACCCGGGGCUCAACUCCGGGCCUGCAGUCGAUACGGGCUGGCUUGAGUGCGGUAGGGGAGACUGGAAUUCCUGGUGUAGCGGUGAAAUGCGCAGAUAUCAGGAGGAACACCGGUGGCGAAGGCGGGUCUCUGGGCCGUAACUGACGCUGAGGAGCGAAAGCGUGGGGAGCGAACAGG